GUUAAGCGACUAAGCGUACACGGUGGAUGCCCUGGCAGUCAGAGGCGAUGAGGGGCGUGCUAAUCUGCGAUAAGCGCCGGUAAGGUGAUAUGAACCGCAAUAACCGGCGAUACCCGAAUGGGGAAACCCGG
rnacentral:rRNA from 1 species